GUGGGGAAUAUUGCACAAUGGGCGAAAGCCUGAUGCAGCAACGCCGCGUGAGUGAUGAAGGUCUUCGGAUUGUAAAGCUCUGUCUUUUGGGACGAUAAUGACGGUACCAAAGGAGGAAGCCACGGCUAACUACGUGCCAGCAGCCGCGGUAAUACGUGGGUGGCGAGCGUUGUCCGGAUUUACUGGGCGUAAAGGGUGCGUAGGCGGAUGUUUAAGUGAGAUGUGAAAUACCCGGGCUUAACUUGGGUGCUGCAUUU
rnacentral:rRNA from 1 species